rnacentral:lncRNA from 1 species
UACUUUUUUUUUUUUUUUUUUUGGCAUUGUUAAUCACUGAAUCUGGAUUUUCCUCUGAAUUCCACAGAGCAUGCACUACAUAACAAUCUGUCAUAAAAUGCCUGUUUCUACACACAGCAUAAGACACUCUACCACCAGAAACAAAUCAACACAAACACGUCAGGGGCGGAACAAUCUCAGUAGUGGGUAACACAUUGUGCAGAGUUCUGCCAAAGGAAAUGAAUAGGCUGUGGGUAAAGCAAAUGAGGGAGAAUUAAGGAAUGAACUAUUUUAAAUAUUAAUAUUUCAGUCAUGGUACUGUAUAUUCUUAAAAAAAACAUUUUAACAUUAGUAACACACUAGAGAAUUUUAUCUCCAAAGAGAUUAGUGCACUGGCAAAGUUCUCAGGUGACAGUGGGAGCUGUGACAGCAGACAGCGAGCACCCUGGCCUCACAGAGCCCAAGGUGGCACUGGCCUUCACUGAUCACUCCUUUGCCAGAGGUCAAAGGGAGCAGAGAAGAGAACGUGUUAAAUGUAAACU